UAGAGUGAGGAGCCUGUGUUCUUGGUAAUCCCCUGCUGAUGCAGCGGAAAAAAAUAACAGAUUGAAAUGAAUGUGAUAAUAGGGCAGGAUCUGUGUGUAAGGGAUGUAAGCCUAAAAAAAGCAACAGCUAGUGCGACCUUGGUCUGGGAACAUUAGUUUUAGAGCUGAACAGCAGAAAAGGACAUGAAGCAAUGCCUGAUGGAGACAGAAAGCUUGCUUAGAUUUCAUAGCAUUUGCUGACACAACAGAAGUGGUGAGAUAAGAGGACCUUUUGUGAUGUGUAGACAUAGCUCAAGUCUUUUCAGCACCAUAGGAAAAAAAAUAACAUUUUUUUUUGCGCUGGCAGUUGACUGGGCUCUUGAGAAAUGGGGUAAAAUGGAGGAGAGUAACUGCAGAAGUUUUAGAAAUGGAAGUUAAAUGUUGAGAAUUCAAGAGGUCUGCAGAUACAAAGAUUCUAGGUAACAGGUGCUUAAAGCUUCUUUGGAAGAAACAGAUGGUUGGCCACUGUUUGGGUGACAACAGGAGUCACAUGGAUCCCUGCAGCACCAUUUUCAGAUGGAUCAGUUCCAGGUCUUCUGUUGUAAUGGCCUACAGCUCUACUGCAGCUUCCUAACGGAGAAACAAAUUUGUGCCAGCUUGCUGAAUAACCUCAGUAAUGUUCAGUCACUCAGAACUUCUCCAUCUGUGUGUCCAUCCAUCCAAAGAACCAGAUGCUCUGAAAAACGCCUUAUCCACCUUGCCUGAUGUAUCAGUAUCUGAAAUAUGUCUCUACCAUAACUGCCGUUUCCAGCCCUACAAGCAAAGGCAACAACUGACCUACCUGGAGCCCUCAGAUAUUUACUUGCUUAGGUACAAGAGUUUUCUUUACAAGUCAACUGUUUCUGCUGCCAGAGCUAAAGAGAAACCAGCAAAAGGUUUUGAUGUGAUCAUUUUUUUUAACCCCAUAGAAAAUGAAAUCACUAACUGGAAGCAUUAUAACAAAAACUAAUAGAAAGCAACCAUUUCACCAAGGAAGAAAAGUUCAGAGAGUAUGCAGAUUUCAUCAGAAUGAGAAGCUAAUGUUUCUAUGCAUAAUUCCAGAUCUAAUAUUUCCAUUGGUUUUCCACUGGUAGGCAUUUAGACAACUUAAUUAUUUUAUUAUUGAAAUUAGAUAAUGAGAUAAUUAUAUAAACUUCCUGUCUAAACGUGUAUAUAUAUUCCACUGACGCAGGUUGCAGAAAUAUUUUUGCCAAGAACUUGAUGAUUAAAUGUGAACUUACUUCAACAGAUACGAAGAAAUGUCCUUGAUUCUUUGUUACACAUCCAUGCAGCGCUUUUAGUUCAACACAAAGAUUAAUACAUAGGAUCUGAAUCAGCAGCUAAUCAUUUUUCAAAAUAUUUGGCUAGUAACCUGAAAUUUCUUCUGAAAAUACCUUAUAAGAAAGUUUCCUUAUGUAAAAAAGAAAAUGUGUGCAUGAUAUAUAACCAUUUUUGUAAGUACCUUAAUUAUGUUUGAUUAUCAUAAAUCAUUGCAACUUUUCUCUGUUAUAACCCUUUGAGUGAAGAAUUAUUUCUCAUUAGAAGCUUCAGCAAAAAAUAUUGAUUAAGCCACAUUCUUAGAAACAAACAAAAAAAAAGAUGUAUUUGAAACUCAAGGCUCUGUUAAAGUACAAAGUGAGCAGGGAAAAAAUAUUUCUGAUUUACGUCCAGAUGACAGAUACUCCUGACCACAUUACAUCUCAAAGCAUUCCAAGAGAGAUGUUCGUUAUACAAUAUGGUGAAAGGAGUCCAGUCAUUAAUUCGGCAGAGUUAAGCAUCUUCAGUCAUACUUAACACUAGAGAAUUAAGAAUGUUGUAGAAUCAGUUUAAAAGUUACUAUCACUAAAGAGUGAAAAGUUACUGAAACUCAGUAUUUUCUUUUAUCAAGGAAUUUUGUUGGAAAUGCUUUACUUUUACUUUCAUUGAAGUGCUUUACUAUGUACAGCAAAUCCGUUUUUAAAGAAAAAUAGUAAUAAUAUAGUUACAAGUCACAUAAGCCAAUGAACUGUGUUAAUGAAGAAUGCUUGGAAAAGGUGCCUACGCAUUUUAGUAGCUUAAUUUCUAGUUUUUAAGAUAAACAUUCCAUCACUUAGGCAUCAAAGCUUCUGCCUUGGGCAACUAUUCACUGCUGGAACAUCUGUGGAAGCUGAAGUAACUGCCUCCCAACUGUUUGUUACCAUCAAGCUUUUCCCAAAAAUUGCCAGCCCCAUAGAACAUGAUGUUGCUCAGCCAGCAGAAUGCAUGAAAUGAGGAUUCCCUCAUCUGUUUCAGUAUAAAGUUAGCUAAGUUAACUUAAAUCCAACUGUUCAUGCAUUUCAGUGAAGCAAAACAAAUGAUAGAAUUUCUUCUAAAGAUUAAAUGUUCGGUGUUCAAUGUUACAUACAUUUUUGCAAAAUGGUACGAAUCCAAUUUAAGGAUUAAAAGGAUUUUUAAACUCAUCUCAAUGUUUGUCUGAAACAGCUUUAAAACGUUCAUAUUGUCAAACUUUAAGUGAUUUGCUUCAUUAGGGCCAAGUUAGAUCUUUGUUGCUGGGUAUUUACAGCUGCUGCAGCGAGAAUCAACAGCACAACUCUACAAGACUGCUAUGGCAGCAAAAAAAGCAUCAAGAGGCCUGGCCAUGACGCUACAGAGCGCUCUUCUGCAGAUAUUCCUAAUGCUUUUAUGCUGUGUUGAUAUAAACGGGUACAGGGAAUCUAAUGAAAACAUUCAAGCAGGAAAUUUGCAAUUCUGUCAGGAGCUUAUCUGAUGUCUUCACUUGACCCUUCCUCAAAAAGUUCUCAUCUAGAAAUUACAACAGCAGUGUUCUGUAUUCAGAAUAGGGGAGGAAUCUGGAACUGAUUGCUCCAGACUGGAUUCUGUUGGUUUGCUAAAAUGAUGUGUCCCAAUGCAAAGGGGACAUGUAAAGAAGGACAUGUAAGAAUUAUAACCACACAUUAUGUAUGGCUGGCACAUUAAUUUUGCCAUACACCUCACACUGAUGGUACAAGUUGACUAAAAAGCCUUGUCAGCAACAUAACUUCAGCAAAACUGAGCUGUUGGGAACAGGCAAGAGUUAGAGCGGUACUGUGCUCAGUCCUCACCGUCUGGAAGGCUUUGGCCAGGAGUCUAAGUUUUGUCCCUAGCAACUGGAACCUGCGUUGGGUUUAGACGUCUUUGCAUCAUGAAACUGUACCCUCCUUCUGACAUGGCAAUAAUCCCCAAUUAUAGUCUGAACUGCAGGAAUAUGGCGCUAAAAUCAUGAGAAGGGAAAAAACUCCUAUUCAGAGAAUAUCCUUGAUAAAGCAGCAGUGUGCUCUGUGUGUUGAUUAGGCCCAGAGAGAUGCGGUUUUUUGUGUAAGACAGAACUGUUGGUUUUAGUCUCACAGG